UGGAUACUUUUUAUACGACCGCAAAAUUUGAAAAAUUUUUCGUCGUAUAUUGCUAUCACGUUGGCGUCGUCGUCGUCGUCCGAAUACAUUAAGUUUUCGCACUCUAACUUUAGUAAAAGUGAAUAGAAAUCUAUGAAAUUUUAACACAAGGUUUAUGACCACAAAAGGAAGGUUGGGAUUGAUUUUGGGAGUUUUGGUCCCAACAUUUUAGGAAUAAGGGGCCAAAAAGGGCCCAAAUAAGCAUUUUCUUGGUUUUCGCACUAUAACUUUAGUUUAAGUUAAUAGAAAUCUAUGAAAUUUUGAGACAAGGUUUAUGACCACAAAAGAAAGGUUGGGAUUGAUUUUGGGAGUUUUGGUUCCAACAGUUUAGGAAUUAGGGGCCAAAAAAGGGCCCAAAUAAGCAUUAUUCUUGGUUUUCUCAC
rnacentral:lncRNA from 1 species